rnacentral:rRNA from 1 species
AUACGAAGGGUGCAAGCGUUAAUCGGAAUUACUGGGCGUAAAGCGCGCGUAGGUGGUUUUGUAAGUUGGAGGUGAAAGCCCCGGGCUCAACCUGGGAAUUGCCUCCAAAACUGCAUGACUAGAGUACGGUAGAGGGUAGUGGAAUUUCCUGUGUAGCGGUGAAAUGCGUAGAUAUAGGAAGGAACACCAGUGGCGAAGGCGACUACCUGAACUGAUACUGACACUGAGGUGCGAAAGCGUGGGGAGCAGACAGGAUUAGAUCCCCUGGUAGUCCACGCCGUAAACGAUGUCAACUAGCCGUUGGGAUCCUUGAGAUCUUAGUGGCGCAGCUAACGCAUUAAGUUGACCGCCUGGGGAGUACGGCCGCAAGGUUAAAACUCAAAUGAAUUGGCGGGG